GAUGAACGCUGGCGGCGUGCUUAACACAUGCAAGUCGAGCGAGUGAGUUCUUCGGAACGAUCUAGCGGCGGACGGGUGAGUAACACGUGGGCAACCUGCCUCAUAGAGGGGAAUAGCCUCCCGAAAGGGAGAUUAAUACCGCAUAAAAUUAUCGAGUGGCAUCACAUGAUAAUCAAAGGAGUAAUCCGCUAUGAGAUGGGCCCGCGGCGCAUUAGCUAGUUGGUGAGGUAACGGCUCACCAAGGCGACGAUGCGUAGCCGACCUGAGAGGGUGAUCGGCCACAUUGGGACUGAGACACGGCCCAGACUCCUACGGGAGGCAGCAGUGGGGAAUAUUGCACAAUGGGGGAAACCCUGAUGCAGCAACGCCGCGUGAGUGAUGAAGGUCUUCGGAUUGUAAAGCUCUGUCUUUGGGGACGAUAAUGACGGUACCCAAGGAGGAAGCCACACUAACUACGUGCCAGCCGCCGCAGUAA
rnacentral:rRNA from 1 species